UGGGGUCACCGAGAACGCACAACAUCGAGGAAGCUGAAGGUCUGCGCCUGUAUCUGGGCUCAGUUUCCUCACCCAGAACUGAAGCGUGAUCACAGCAGGCAGGCAACCCACUCCAGCCGGGACAGUGGCACUUGUGGAAGGUUCUGGGGGACUCAAGGCCUGUAAUGCGUGACUUUGCUGCCAUGUCACCAUCUCCAUUUUGCUCUACCCCCCUGCUGAAUGGGACCACUAUGCCCAGCCUUCCUGCCAAGACAGCUGCCCCUUGUACACUCAGGAGUUUCCCUCGGUCCUUGGGACCCAGGUCUGAAAUGCUAACUGUUUUGCCCUUUAAGAAAGAGCUGACCAACCCCUGUUCCAGUAGGCUGUGAGAGGGUCUCGUGCCGUUUAACAUGAGUGAGGAGCAUUUGG